UAGGGAAUCUUCGGCAAUGGGGGCGAACCCUCGACCGACGCAACGCCGCGUGAGUGAAGAAGGUUUUCGGAUCGUAAGCUCUGUUGUAAGAGAAGAACGUGUGUGAGAGUGGAAAGUUCACACAGUGACGGUAACUUACCAGAAAGGGACGGCUAACUACGUGCCAG
rnacentral:rRNA from 1 species